UUGAAAUGUUUGAAACACAAAAUUGAAGCUCAUUUGCCUAGGGAAGGUUUGGCCAAGCAAGGCCUGUCCUAAGGAUCGCAGGGGGCUAGGCCAAGUACAGACCAUUGGCAUUCUUUUUUUUUUUUUUAAACAUUUAUUUAUCUUUGAGAGACAGAGACAGAACAUGAGCAGGGGAGGAAUGGAGAGAAAGGGAGACACAGAAUCGGAAGCAGGCUCCAGGCUCUGAGCUGUCAGCACAGAGCCCGACGUGGGGCUCAAACUCACGAAUCGUGAGAUCGUGACCUGAGCUGAAAUCCAGUCGGACGCUUAACCGACUGAGCCACCCAGGCACCCCUGGUGUUCCUGACUCCACUUGCCACCCGAAGGCACGCUUUCUGGUUUCCCCGUGUCUGCCUGGUGCUCCUUCAAGCCCUGGUGCUUGAUUCAUCAGACCACGAUGAUCUGCUCUGGGGACAUGAAUGAAGAGUGCCAGGCUGACCAGAUCCUGGAAAGUUGGAUAAAAGGUCCAGACUCUGAGCGGCAGCCAACCAGCCAGUAUAUGCAAAUGGUGGACCAGUCACUUGCUUAGUGACCACAUCGGUGCCACCUACUCUCCCACAAAAUGAAGAACAGGGUCACUCAGCCUCCUAGGUAAUUAAUCCAGUUACCUGAAAAUUCAACCCUGUGCCUUUCUGAAGGCCCAGACAUAAUUUUUUUUGGUAAGUCAA